CUAAUACCGGAUAACACUCUGUCCCGCAUGGGACGGGGUUVAAAGCUCCGGCGGUGAAGGAUGAGCCCGCGGCCUAUCAGCUUGUUGGUGKGGUAAUGGCCUACCAAGGCGACGACGGGUAGCCGGCCUGAGAGGGCGACCGGCCACACUGGGACUGAGACACGGCCCAUACUCCUACGGGAGGCAGCAGUGGGGAAUAUUGCACAAUGGGCGAAAGCCUGAUGCAGCGACGCCGCGUGAGGGAUGACGGCCUUCGGGUUGUAAACCUCUUUCAGCADGGAAGAAGCGAAAGUGVCGGUACCUGCAGAAGAAGCGCCGGCUAACUACGUGCCAGCAGCCGCGGUAAUACGUAGGGCGCAAGCGUUGUCCGGAAUUAUUGGGCGUAAAGAGCUCGUAGGCGGCUUGUCACGUCGGAUGUGAAAGCCCGGGGCUUAACCCCGGGUHUGCAUUCGAUACGGGCUAGCUAGAGUGUGGUAGGGG
rnacentral:rRNA from 1 species